rnacentral:RNase_P_RNA from 2 species
UCCCAACCAAUGCUGCGUUUCUUUGCUACACACGACAAGACCCCCGUCUUGUCCUCGGCCCGUCACCCCGACGGCCGCCGAGCCCGCAAAUGAGAAAUUCGGAGAAAUCUUCACCUUACCAGCACCCGCUCUCGCUGGGUGCCUGUGGCAUCCACGGGAGCCGGUACUGCCCGUGAGGGCCUGGUGUGAAAGACAGACACAUCUGCAAUUGGCAUCAGAAACAUCGGGGCGCCGGGACCGUCGGUCCCGUGCGGUUUCCCCAUGGGAGAGUCGUUGCGAAGAUUGUGUGUGCAGCUUGGCCUGCAUGACACUUUAGUGCAAUACGCAGCAUACCGGGUUUCCUUCUUCCCUUCGGGGGAGGGGAAUGGUAUCAUUCGAUUCCGAUUAUUCUGGCUGGGA